rfam:Schistosoma margrebowiei strain Zambia genome assembly, scaffold: SMRZ_scaffold0000242
GCCGGCGGCCAUACCACGUCGAAAGCACCGGUUCUCGUCCGAUCACUGCAGUUAAGCGACGUUGGGCCCGGCCAGUACUUGUAUGGGUGGCCGGCCAGGAAUACCGGGUCCCACCGGCU